CCAGCAGUCGCGGUUAGACGAAUAAUACAAGUAAAUUUUAUUGGAUUGAGUUAAAUUUAUUUUUAUUUAUUUAUAAUAGAUUUAUUAGGUGAAAUUUUAAAUUUAUUUAAUUAAUUUUUAUAUUAAUUGAAGCUUGGAAAUUUUAGUAAAAAACUAGGAUUAGAUACCCUAUUAUUUAAAAUUGAAUUUUAAUCUUAGGUAGUAGUAGUUAUGAUCUUGAAACUUAAAAAAUUUGGCGGUAUUUUAGUCUAUCCAGAGGAACCUGUUCUGUAAUCGAUAAUCCACGUUGGACCUUACUUAGCAAUGUUUUCAGUUUAUAUACCGUCGUUAUAAGAAUAUUUUAUAAGAAUAAUAAUUUUCUUUAAUUUUUAUUAAAAUUUAUAUCAGAUCAAGGUGUAGCUAAUGGUUAAGUAGAAAUGGGUUACAAUAAAUUUAUUUAUAUGGAUAAAGGUAUGAAAAAUUUUUUGAAGGUGGAUUUGGUAGUAAAUUUAUAGAUAUUAUUAAUUUGAUUUUAGCUCUAAAAUAUGC
rnacentral:rRNA from 1 species